CCUACGGGGGGCAGCAGUGGGGAAUAUUGGACAAUGGGGGGAACCCUGAUCCAGCCAUGCCGCGUGUGUGAAGAAGGCCCUCGGGUUGUAAAGCACUUUCAGUGAGGAAGAACGCCUGGUGGUUAAUACCCAUCAGGAAAGACAUCACUCACAGAAGAAGCACCGGCUAACUCCGUGCCAGCAGCCGCGGUAAUACGGAGGGUGCGAGCGUUAAUCGGAAUUACUGGGCGUAAAGCGCGCGUAGGUGGCUUGAUAAGCCGGUUGUGAAAGCCCCGGGCUCAACCUGGGAACGGCAUUCGGAACUGUCAAGCUAGAGUGCAGGAGAGGAAGGUAGAAUUCCCGGUGUAGCGGUGAAAUGCGUAGAGAUCGGGAGGAAUACCAGUGGCGAAGGCGGCCUUCUGGACUGACACUGACACUGAGGUGCGAAAGCGUGGGUAGCAAACAGGAUUAGAUACCCCAGUAGUC
rnacentral:rRNA from 1 species